rnacentral:rRNA from 1 species
AUGAUCUUGACAAAGAUCUGCAUGCCGCCACAGAGGUGCCUCCCGAGCCCUGGGUCCAAUGUAGUUGUUGGCAGCGUUUGGAACCCUUGGGCUCAAUGGUGGCUCGCUCUGCUGGUGUUGGGCAAGCUACCCCGGCAAGGCUCUUGCCGGGGCCGCGGAGGCCGCCCUGGCAAGGGUCUUGCCGGGGGAGUCCACCUCACCCCUUUACUCUUUUAUGCGUCUGGUCUUGGCGUCGCCUUGUUUGUCUUGUGCUUUGGUUUCUCUCCGGCUUCUCUCCUCUUCCUUGUUAAGUGUGGCCGCGGGCGUGGCUCUGACUGCCCGUGCACAAGUAAAGGGGUCAAAAGGAGAGCCCCUACUUUUGUACACCGACACACCUUUUUUCAUAUUCACUUAUUAAAAUCAAUUCUAUCUUCGGGAAAUCAUAAAAUUAUAGCUAAUCAUAAAUAA